CUCAAGGUUUCACCCGACAUGCUUCUUUCUGUGAGAACUGCCUCUGUCUCACGGGCUGGGGUGGCAUCCGAACAAUUUCCAAAGGGCGAGUGGAGUUGAUUUUUCACCCUGUACUUUAUUGGGAAGUUUUGGUUGACUUGGGGAGCUGGUGUGAACAGGAACCAGAGGCACUCCGGAGGUUGCCUGGAUUGGGGAGGGGUGGGUGAGUGCACUUGCGCGCGCGUGCGUUUGUGUGUGUGUGUGUGUGUGUGCGGUGUAGGGAGGCGGGGGGGCGGGGGGUGAGGGCCUGGGGCGGGGGCGGGGGCGCGGCUCCGUGUUAAGCAGCACCGUGGCGGUUCCACGCUGAGUGCAGCGUGCUCGGCUCUCUCGUUGCAGGGUGUCAGGCAGAGUGGAAGGAGAGGAGGAGAAGGGAAGUCGGGGACGUCGGUCAUGUCUAGGCGCUGGUGUUCUGGGGUGUCAGGCAGAGUAAGGAGAGGAGGAGAAGGGAAGUCGGGGACGUCGGUCAUGUCUAGGCGCUGGUGUUCUGGGUGAGUGAGUGCCCUUUGUUCUCUUCCUUCUCCUCUUCCAAAAGGGUUCAUUUCAUCACAGGAAAAGGUCAGUGGUUCUGGUGGUUCAGCAAGCCUCAAGAAGGGGAGACUCCCAAGGUAGGUCCGUGGCACGGGGCCACCGGCGUACCGUGCCGGAGUUUUCCGGCUUGAUAGCAGAGGCUCUCGGGCCAGGUCCCGCUUGCGGAGCCGGAAGAAGGAGAUGUG
rnacentral:lncRNA from 9 species